GAGUUUGAUCAUGGCUCAGAUUGAACGCUGGCGGCAUGCUUUACACAUGCAAGUCGAACGGCAGCACAGGGAGCUUGCUCCUGGGUGGCGAGUGGCGAACGGGUGAGUAAUGUAUCGGAACGUGCCUGGUAGUGGGGGAUAACCACUCGAAAGAGUGGCUAAUACCGCAUGAGAUCUCUGGAUGAAAGCGGGGGACCUUUGGGCCUCGCGCUAUCGGAGCGGCCGAUAUCAGAUUAGGUUGUUGGUGGGGUAAAGGCCUACCAAGCCUGCGAUCUGUAGCUGGUCUGAGAGGACGACCAGCCACACUGGGACUGAGACACGGCCCAGACUCCUACGGGAGGCAGCAGUGGGGAAUUUUGGACAAUGGGCGCAAGCCUGAUCCAGCAAUGCCGCGUGCAGGACGAAGGCCCUCGGGUUGUAAACUGCUUUUGUACAGAACGAAAAGUCUCUGGCUAAUAUCUGGGAAACAUGACGG
rnacentral:rRNA from 1 species